rnacentral:piRNA from 1 species
UCAGGGUGUACAGUUUCACAAAGUGACAAUC